GACGAACGCUGGCGGCGUGCCUAAUACAUGCAAGUCGAACGGAAAGGCGCAAUACUCGUGGUGGCGACGGGGGGCGAAAGGGGGUGGAACAUGUGAGUAACCUAGGCAUGACGGUGGGAUAACUUCAGGAAACCGGGGCUAGCACCGGAAAGGGUAACGUGCUGAAUGACGGUGGGUGGAGAGUUCGGGCGGUUGGGGAUGUGGUCGGGGCUUAGCAUCUUGAUGGGGGGGUAGUGGCGUACCAAGGCUUUGAGGGGCAGCCGACCUGAGAGGGUGACCGGCCACCUUGGGACUGAGAUACGGCCCAGACCACUACGCGACGCAGCAGUGGGGAAUAUUGCACAAUGGGCGGACGCCUGCUGCAGCAACCCACCGUGCGGGUUGAAGGCCUUCGGGCUGUAAGCCGCUUUCGUCUGUGACGAAGGGUGAGUGACGGUACUGGUUAAAGCAGCCCCGGCUAACUACGUG
rnacentral:rRNA from 1 species